AGAUUGAACGCUAGCGGGAUGCUUUACACAUGCAAGUCGAACGGCAGCGCGGACUUCGGUCUGGCGGCGAGUGGCGAACGGGUGAGUAAUAUAUCGGAACGUGCCCAGUAGCGGGGGAUAACUACGCGAAAGCGUGGCUAAUACCGCAUACGCCCUACGGGGGAAAGGGGGGGAUCGCAAGACCUCUCACUAUUGGAGCGGCCGAUAUCAGAUUAGCUAGUUGGUGAGGUAAAGGCUCACCAAGGCGACGAUCUGUAGCCGGUUUGAGAGGACGACCAGCCACACUGGGACUGAGACACGGCCCAGACUCCGUACGGGAGGCAGCAGUGGGGAAUUUGGACAAGUGGGGGAAACCCUGAUCCAGCCAUCCCGCGUCGUGCGAUGAAGGCCGUUCGGGUUGUAAGCUACUUUUGGCGAGGAAGAACGGUCGUUAGUACUAAGUAUUCAGCGUCACGUCGACGGUACCUGACAGAAUAAG
rnacentral:rRNA from 1 species